GGCAAGAUGGCCGAGCGGUCUAAGGCGCUAGGGUCAGGCAACCUGAUCACACAUAUUCGCUCUAUCCGAGCAAUAUUCCUAGUCACGCAAGUGGCGUGGGUUCGAAUCCCACUCUUGUCA
rfam:Aspergillus aculeatus ATCC 16872 unplaced genomic scaffold ASPACscaffold_2, whole genome shotgun sequence.